AUAUUAAAGUUGUUGUGGUUAAAAAGCUCGUAGUUGAACCUUGGGCCUGGCUGGCCGGUCCGCCUCACCGCGUGUACUGGUCCGGCCGGGCCUUUCCCUCUAUGGAACCUCAUGCCCUUCACUGGGUGUGGCGGGGAAAUAGGACUUUUACUGUGAAAAAAUUAGAGUGCUCCAGGCAGGCCUAUGCUCGAAUACAUUAGCAUGGAAUAAUAGAAUAGGACGUGUGGUUCUAUUUUGUUAGUUUCUAGGACCGCCGUAAUGAUUAAUAGGGACAGUCGGGGGCAUCAGUAUUCAAUUGUCA
rnacentral:rRNA from 1 species